AUUGAACGCUGGCGGCAGGCCUAACACAUGCAAGUCGAACGGGUGGCGGGCGGGUGGGUCAGGUCUGGGAAACGGCCUGAGGGAGGGGGAUCGCUACUGGGAACUGUGGCUCAUACCGCAUACCAUCGAAUGUGCCCAGAUGGGUUGUGCUAGGUGGUGGGGUAACGGCUCACCAAGGCGACGAUCCCUAGCUUGUCUGAGAGGAUGACCAGCCACACUGGAACUGGGACACCGUCCAGGCUCCUACGGGAGGCAGCAGUGGGGAAUAUUGCACAAUGGGCGCAAGCCUGAUGCAGCCAUGCCGCGGGUAUGAAGAAGGCCUUCGGGUUGGAAAGUACUUUCAGCGGGGAGGCGUUACCCGCAGAAGAAGGACCGGCCUACCCCGUUCCAACAGCCGCGGUAAUUC
rnacentral:rRNA from 1 species